UCGCACAAUCUAUAUCCUCUCUAGCAAUCAAAACAUUUAAUACUUCAGAAGUAAACAACGUUAACUAAAUCUUAUGAUGUUGCUGUCACUCUACACACAAAGGAAUUUAAUCAAUAAAUUUUCGGGUAUGAUACAAUUGUCACAAGUCAUGGUGAGACUGCAGUAACUACAAGAUCGCUGUCAAAAAUCACAGACGCUUAUCAGUCACAGGACACGAAAGCACAAGAAACGUUCACGACUUUGGAAGAGCGCGUCCCUUCUAGGCGUUGUGCUGACGUAUACGAUGUUUACGCGUUUCUACGCAGUCGAGAAUGGUCGAAAACAACAGAGCGAC